rnacentral:rRNA from 1 species
AUUGAACGCUGGCGGCAGGCCUAACACAUGCAAGUCGAGCGGAUGAAAGGGGCUUGCUCCUGGAUUCAGCGGCGGACGGGUGAGUAAUACGCAGGAAUCUACCUAGUAGUGGGGGAUAACGUUUCGAAAGGGGCGCUAAUACCGCAUACGUUCUGAGGAAGAAAGCAGGGGAUCGCAAGACCUUGCGCUAUUAGAUGAGCUUGCGUCCGAUUAGCUAGUUGGUGGGGUAAAGGCCUACCAAGGCGACGAUCGGUAACUGGUCUGAGAGGAUGAUCAGUCACACUGGAACUGAGACACGGUCCAGACUCCUACGGGAGGCAGCAGUGGGGAAUAUUGGACAAUGGGGGCAACCCUGAUCCAGCCAUGCCGCGUGUGUGAAGAAGGCCUCGG